UACGGGAGGCAGCAGUGGGGAAUAUUGCACAAUGGGCGAAAGCCUGAUGCAGCUAUGCCGCGUGUAUGAAGAAGGCCUUAGGGUUGUAAAGUACUUUCAUCGGGGAGGAAAAAACAAAACUAAUAAUUUUAUUUCUUGACGUUACCCGAAAAAGAAGCACCGGCUAACUCCGUGCCAGCAGCCGCGGUAAUACGGAGGGUGCUAGCGUUAAUCAGAAUUACUGGGCGUAAAGAGCACGUAGGUGGUUUUUUUAAGUCAGAUGUGAAAUCCCUGGGCUUAACCUAGGAACUGCAUUUUGAAACUGAAAUACUAGAGUAUCGUAGAGGGAGGUAGAAUUCUAGGUGUAGCGGUGAAAUGCGUAGAUAUCUGGAGGAAUACCUGUGGCGAAAGCGGCCUCCUAAACGAAUACUGACACUGAGGUGCGAAAGCGUGGGGAGCGAAACAGGGAUUAGAUA
rnacentral:rRNA from 1 species